AAAAAUGUUCCAACUGGGAGCCUGCACCUUACCAUCUUUACAUUUCCAAAACAUUUUUUGUCAUAUUUGAAUACAUAAGCUUGAGGAAUAGUUACAUUUUUGGGGGGAGAAAAUUGAAACCCAUUUUGUCCCUCUUCUCAAGAAUCACUGAACUAUUAGGAUUUUGUUUGACCUUAUACUCCGAGCGACAGCUGAACAGUAGAGUUGGCGGCGCUGCCCCUCUGUGAUUUGUGUGUUUUUCUCUGCAGGAUGAAGGCAGUGCCUUGGUGAGGUAAAGUGAUUGUUGUGGUUUUCGAUAAAGUUUGCACCUUUUAAACUUUUUUUAAAAAUCAAUUGUGUUGUAGUUGUAGAAAUCAGUGGCUUGCAUAAUGUGAGAACAAUUAUAAAUGGCUUUUUAAAAAUAUAACGGGUCAGGGAUGUGACGGAUUAUUCGGGAAAUAGGACAUUCAAUCUGAUUUUUAUAACACUAUGUGCUAAAAUUAGAUUUUUUAUUUUCUGGCAAAGUCAGUUUGGGAUAUAAAUGAGAACAAAAGAACUAUUAUUAUUUCAGUCACUGUGCUAAUAAAUGUUGCUGUGUUAUGAGAACCAGACUCAUGCAACAGCAUACACAAUGCUGCGUUUGUGCGUGUGUGCACGUUUACAGAGUUACAGAGUUACAGAUUAGUUUCAGUGUCCUUUUGUAUCAAAUUGUCCCUGUCAAUGUUUUUGACACAAAUUAAAGUUGACUAUUUUGAUCCGACCUGUUUGCACCAUCUCUGUUUGCACCAACUUACACAGUUCUGCUCAGUUUGCAUUAAUUUAUUAUUCAUUUGCAACUGGUAAUAUUGUAAUAAAACACAAACUUUAUUUUCAAUAUGGAAAUUGCUUAGAAAUUAUAAAUAAUUGUAAAUUCAGGAGCAAUCUUGUUAUAUUGAGAAAAUGAGAAACUCAAAACUUGUUAAAUCAGAAACCUUCUGGUUAUAAUGAGGUGAAUUUUUCAUCUUGUUAUGAGAUCUAAAAAUAUGUUUUUGUCAAAAAGGACCAUGUUAAAAAGCA